rnacentral:rRNA from 1 species
CCUACGGGGGGCAGCAGUGGGGAAUAUUGGACAAUGGGGGCAACCCUGAUCCAGCCAUGCCGCGUGUGUGAAGAAGGCCCUCGGGUUGUAAAGCACUUUCAGUGAGGAAGAACGCCUGGUGGUUAAUACCCAUCAGGAAAGACAUCACUCACAGAAGAAGCACCGGCUAACUCCGUGCCAGCAGCCGCGGUAAUACGGAGGGUGCGAGCGUUAAUCGGAAUUACUGGGCGUAAAGCGCGCGUAGGUGGCUUGAUAAGCCGGUUGUGAAAGCCCCGGGCUCAACCUGGGAACGGCAGCCGGAACUGUCAAGCUAGAGUGCAGGAGAGGAAGGUAGAAUUCGCGGUGUAGCGGUGAAAUGCGUAGAGAUCGGGAGGAAUACCAGUGGCGAAGGCGGCCUUCUGGACUGACACUGACACUGAGGUGCGAAAGCGUGGGUAGCAAACAGGAUUAGAUACCCCGGUAGUC